AUUUUAGGUGAGAAAAAGGAGAAGUUUCUUUUAAAAUUCCUGUUUCAUUAGCAUCAGCAGUUGGCCCUCUGUCUAAACUGGAGAAGCAUCAAACAUGAUGAUUUUAUCCUGUGGUACAGCAAAAAAUAGUUAAUGGUGUGUUUGUGUCACAUGGACCAUAUGUGUAGACUGUUUAUAAAAUAUCUGUGUCGAUUCCCUCAUGCAUGCACAUGCCCAGAGUAAAAGGAAUAUGUAACACCUGAGGCUGGGAUCAAAAGAUGAAGUAUUUUCACAUGCUAUGAAAAAGCAACUGUUGAAGGAAGCAGAACAAGGACAAGGAAAGGAAGUGCAGUGUUUAGCAGCUUGAAUUUCUGUUCCUGACAUCGGCAACAAACAGAAAUAGUGCAAAAUCCUUGUUGUUGGUCCUGCUCCUCGCAAGCUACAGUUUGAGGAGAAGAGUUAUUUUCUCGUAACCUUUUCUCUGCCCUGUCUGUGAGCAAAGAGACACACAGCCCUUUUCAUAGAAUCAGUCUGAGUUGGAAGGGACCCACAAGGAUCAUUGAGUCCAACUCCUGGCUCUUCACUGGGCAACCACAACUCCACACUUUUGCUGAUAUAUGAAUGUUUAUGUAGACUGUAGAGAUUUUUCUGCUUUUAAGUUACUGCAAAGUGUACCCAGGAUGGUCUAAAAUUUGGAUUUUCAUAUUGGAGAUGAAAUAGGUCCAUGAAAUUCCUUUGUCCUUCCCUGUGAAAGAACAUCAAUACCUCAAAAUUUUCUAUACCUCAAAAUUUUGCCUGGGCUACUACUCUUGAAUGCUUGUAGUAUUUUUGUUAGAGGAACAUUUGCAAUGAAGGCAUAGCUCCUUUGUUAAUGUUGAUUUAUACUCUCUUACGACGAGAGCAAUUAAACUGUUGCUCUUUAAGGUGAAUAUAUAUCUGGCAGGAAUUUAUUUAUGCAU